rnacentral:rRNA from 1 species
AUUGAACGCUGGCGGCAGGCCUAACACAUGCAAGUCGAGCGGAUCGGCGGACGGGUGCGUAAUGCCUAUGAAUAUGCCUGGUACUGGUGGAUAACGUCCGGAAACGGGCGCUAAUACCGCUUCCUAUCAGAUUAGCCUUGGUCGGAUUAGCUAGUUGGUGGGGUAAAGGCAUACCAAGGCGACGAUCCGUAACUGGUCUGAGAGGAUGAUCAGUCACACUGGAACUGAGACACGGUCCAGACUCCUACGGGAGGCAGCAGUGGGGAAUAUUGGACAAUGGGCGAAAGCCUGAUACAGCCAUGCCGCGUGUGUGAAGAAGGUCUUCGGAUUGUAAAGCACUUUAAGUUGGGAGGCGUUACCAACAGAAUAAGCACCGGCUAACUUCGUGCCAGCAGCCGCGGUAAUUC